CCACACAGGAAGCCCAUGAAUCUAAUGAUCAAUCAAAUCCUCUGAAAAAGAAUUCCUAGGAACAUUAUCCAGCAGCCUAUUAUGAGAGAUCAUAGAACAGAACCUUUCAGCAUUCCUUCCUUUCUUCCUCCCUAAUCUCUCCAUCCUCAACAUAAGUAAGAGGGAAAAAGGCUGUCCCUACCCAGCGGUUACAAAAAGAUGCCUUCCUGAUUCAAUUCAGCUAUCCUGCCACCCUAACUACUCCCAUUAAAUCAAAAGGAAGCCAAUCAAGCCGCUCUUGUUCAAGCCCAUUUAAUUAUUGAGGACAACUCCAGGAAAUCUAAGCCACGUCAGCUGAAUCAUAAGGGGUUCACCUGUAAAAUGAAGGGCAGUUAAUUUCUCAGAUAUGAAUUCAUAUUUCAAUCUAUGACCCCAUAAUGUCCACUGGAAAGGUACUUCUUAAUCCAGGAAAACCAAAUGCUGAAAUAAAUACCCCAGAAAGAGAAGCCUAGAAGACCCCAAUGAGAGAAUUCCCAGGAACUGGCUGUUAUUAGCCUAUUAGCAGUUUAACUACAGCAAGAAAGUACUUCUUACAGAAAGGUCCCAGAAGGUCUGUGUGACUAUCUCCAGCCUUAGAUAACAAGGCCAGUUGCGACAGGUCAAGGCCUACC